GUUCCCUGCCCUCCGGCGUGUCCACUUCUCCCCAUAGCUUUGUGUCAUCCGCAAACUUGGACAGAGUACAUUUGACUUCCUCAUCCAAGUCGCUGAUGAAGACAUUAAAGAGUAUCGGUCCAAGGACCGAGCCCUGCAGGACCCCACUGCCCACACCCUUCCAGGUCAAGACCGACCCAUCUACCACGACUCUCUGGGUGCAACCCUCUAGCCAAUUCGCCACCCACCGGACUGUGCAGUCAUCCACAUCACAGCCUCUUAACUUGUUCACCAGUAAUUGCAGCCAACAUGAGACAGUGACAGGGAACCUGGGCUUGGACAACCUAGAAAUAGCUGAUAAGUUGGUGGAUUUCCACUCGGCAGCAUCCACUUGCUCCCCGUCUCGCGCCUCGCUCCUCACGGGACGGCUUGGCACUCGCAAUGGCGUGACCCACAAUUUUGCUGUGACUUCAGUUGGUGGCCUCCCCCUGAACGAAACCACGUUGGCUGAGGUUCUGCAGGACGCCGGAUACCUCACUGCCGUGAUCGGCAAGUGGCACCUUGGGCACAAUGGCCUCUAUCAUCCCAACUUCCGCGGUUUCGACUAUUACUUCGGGAUCCCCUACAGUCACGACAUGGGCUGUACUGACACCCCAGGCUACAAUCUCCCUCCGUGUCCCGCCUGCCCUUGGCACUCUGCAUCGACAAGCAGCUCUGGGAAGGACUGCUACACCGAGGUGGCACUUCCUCUCUUUGAAAACAUCAGUAUUGUCCAACAGCCUGUCAACUUGACCAGCUUGGCUGCAGAGUAUGCAGAAAAAGCAACUCGGUUCAUUCGGUGUGCCAGACAGGUGCCGAGAUGGGAGAUUCUCCAUUGCCCUCUACUUGGAGCAAUUAUUUACCUCAGGAAAAGCGAACGCCCGUUCUUCCUGUACCUGGCUCUUGCUCAUAUGCACGUGCCCUUGGUAAUUGCUCAGCCACCAUCCUGCUCGUCAGUCAGGGAGGUAUACAGAGCCAGCUUGAGGGAGAUGGAUGCUUUCGUGGGACGGCUGAAAGAGGAGAUCGACAGCUCCCAGGAGGAAAACACACUUCUUUGGUUCACAGGAGAUAACGGUCCGUGGGCGCAGAAGUGCGAGCUUGCAGGGAGUGUCGGCCCAUUCAUCGGCACGUGGCAGCGACAGCGAGGUGGGAGCUCAGCAAAGCAAACCACUUGGGAAGGGGGACAUCGCGUUCCAGCACUGGCAUACUGGCCUGGCAAGAUCCCUGCAAAUGUGACAAGUGCUGCUCUGUUGAGCACGUUGGACAUUUUCCCCACCGUAGUGUCCCUGGCAAAUGCAGCCCUCCCUCCCCACAGACGCUUCGAUGGCCUGGAUGUGUCUGACGUCCUCUUUGGGCAAUCGCACAAUGGACACAAAACAUUGUUCCACCCCAACAGCGGAGCGGCUGGAAAGGACGGAGAGAUAAAAGCACUACGGCUGGCUCAGUACAAGGCUUUCUACACGACAGGGGGAGCAAAAGCUUGUGAUGGGAGCAUUGGGCUGGAGGAGCAUCAUGACCCACCACUCAUGUUUAAUCUGGAGCGCGACGCCCAGGAGCAGGAGCCUUUGGAUACGAAGUCCAGCGAGUACCAGGCUGUGUUUCCUGCAGUAAACAGGGCUUUCGCCGACAUUCUGCAGGAUAUUGCAACAGACAACGUGUCUACGGCCGAUUACUCCCGCAACCCGGCUGCGACGCCCUGCUGCAAUCCACAGCAUGUAGUCUGCCGAUGCCAACCUUGCCGCAACCCAGACCACAGCGGGACUACGCAGUCAACACACUCUCAGGCUUAAUCAGAGACUUCUAAUGCUCACAGGAGGGAACUCAUUCUCAUCGUCAAGGCACACGGGUCCUGUUGCAAACUCAUGCUCUGGGAUAACCUCUCCUCUCAGGGCACCCCCAUCUUCCGAGUAACCUGCAAAAACAGAGAGAAGCAAAACACUUGGGACAGAGGAAUCAAAGGAGGCUAGAAGUGGGCAGGCAGCGUUCACUGCGCUGGAGCACGGAGCUGGAUUCCCCAUCUGCUCGGCAGAACAGAAGUGGCAAUAGGGGAAAGCAUCUUAGCCAACAUUGUAAGCUAGGGAAUGGAUUAAUGUACUAGCUUUAGCAGCAUUAGCCUGCUGCUUCCCACUACAGAGGGCCUGGCUAAUUUGAUGCAGUUAUUUUAAUGGCUACUUAGCUUUAGCAGAAGAGCGAAGAAGGGCUGGAAGAACAGAAAGCGGCAGCGCUCCUUUCUAUGGGAUGCAAGAGGGAAAGCAGCUUACAAGAGAUCUGCAUGAAUAGAGGGGCAGGUAUUCCACUAUGCCAAUUAAUACUUUGAGGAAUGAUCACCCGCUUGCAGUUCCAAGCUGAAAUCCUAUUAAUGCUUCAUACUAUUUCACAUUACUCUUUUAAUUCCUUGGGUUAAUAUCCCCAUGACCAAGCGAUCGCCUUUAAAACGCUCUUGUGGCUCCUGGCAGCGAGCUGCUCCUGAGGGAUUUCUCUAACAAGAGACCGAUUCCUGCAGAAGUACCUUGGCAGGGCAUCUGUUUCUGAUCUGCACAAGCACAGGUGGGUCACACACGUUGCGCCCAAGUACAGGUUUGGGCACGGCUGACUUACUCCAAGUAGCUGAAACUCGAGGCUUCCUUUGUGCUUUUAAUUAUGGAUAUUUCCAGUCAUGCUAGGUAAAAUAUCCAGCAGGACUUCUGUCCCUGUGGUGUUGUAGCCACCCCGGAGCAAGCCCUAGUCUGCAUGCUAGACCUGCUGGAGUGUAAGCAAGCCCGAAGACUGAGGAGUAUCACGUGUUUGUUUGGAGCUUGCUACUGUACCAAAAGGCACAGUGGGUUCAGCAGGCUCUUGUGCUUGUGGCACAGGAGCAUGGAGAUCUGACGUUUCUUAUAGCCACAGUUUCAAUCAAGUCUUCUGACCUGCUGUCUAACACUGUAAUGCAAGCAAUGAUGCACUUAGUGCUGUUUCCAGUGGAGAUGUAGCAUGGUCGUGACCAUUAUUAAGCAUGCUUAGCACUGAUAGUGCUUCAUAUUGUCAAAGCAUUGUAUCAUUUGGAUUCCAGAUGGUUAAAUAAGCAUGAGCUAAUUGAUCCCCGGGGAACUCCAGUGAAGUAGGAAAACAAAGUGCUACUUUGCAGUAACCAGUUGUAAUUGGUUUGCUCAGGAAAGGCAAAAUUCAGUGGCCCGGACUCGUCAGAAAUGGAAGUAUUUUGCCCUUGAUGUGUAAAUUAUUUACUCCUUUCAGUGUGCUUGGGCAUGUAAAACAGAUCCCAGGCACUGCAUGUGAGGGCAAACCUUGAGAUCAACACCAGGGAGUAAAAGCUUGGAGCCAGGAGAGUCUGCUGCGGGGUGCGGUGGCUGUUAGCAAGAAGGAAAGGCAGAGACACCUGGACUUACAGCCCUGGGUCCUGCCCUAGGACUCCCUGCUACAAAGGAGCAGGGGGAAUAGGAGCACCACUAAGCCUUUAUGGAGUGCUUCCGUGAGUGGGAGCUCUUCAAAAUGCACUUCAGUGCUGCAAAGUGUUCAGCUAUUAUUAAUAUCUAACCUCACAACUCUCCUGAGCCAGAUUCAGCGUACGGAUCUGCAUUUUCAUUCAAGGCACAAGGGUUAAGUGACUUGCCCGGAGUAACGAAGGGUAUUGGAGACGAGGAUCUGAGGGAGGAUGUGCGGAUAUGCACUCUGAUCGUGAUGGCAUCCUCCUGCGCUAUUAGAAUCGGUCACGCUACCAUGGAGUAGGGGUGGGAGGAGGCCAGCACAGUGGAACGGGCUUUCAUUUGCAGCGAAGCUACAUCCUGCAAUCAGCUGGGUGCCAGAGGGUCCUGACAGACCCCUGGGAGGCAUAAGAACUACUUUGGUUUGAGCCCAUAGCAGAAAUCAGGACUAUGCCCUUGGUAACAAACCAGAACAAAACUCCUCGACCUGCUGCACAGCCUGCGCUUGUGGAAACUGCUGAUGCAGAUGCAAGGGAACCCCCUGCUCAGUAGCGGACGAAUUCACCGCGGGAGCCUGUCAGCACUCAGCCCCCAGCAGGCACACCCAGCUCGCUCUCACCUGGCAUGGACGAGGUCGAAGGCGUCGUACUCUGUCUGGCUACUGUUGCUGCGUAGGACUGAGGUUGACUGCUGCCAUCUAGUGACUUCGGACUGCUGUCAUCGAGCGGCUUGAGAUUGGUUUCUCACUGUCUUGUCCAAAGGGAAGCCAGAAAACAGCUCACGUGAGCUUGACAUCAUGCUGGAAUUAACUCUAGGCCGGCAUUCAUUCCCGUGCGGGGGACCAGCAUAGGACCCGUGCACUACUGAAGUCCCAUGCGAGCCCUGUUGUGAAUGUGUGGCUGCUGGUAUUCAGAUCUGACAUUAGCCCUCAUUUCUGCUCCAACUCCUGUAAGUAGAAGUAGUAUGAAUUACACUGGCUUGGACCUGGUGCAGUGGAGUAGGUCAUGCGGUCCACGACCCAUAAAGAAACUGGAGCAUACGGAAGUUACAUGAUGUGUUCAGAGUCAUGCAGCGCUAGGAGGGCUGUUUCCCACCCCCCUGAGACCACCUGCACUUUCUGGACACAUUAAAUAAGUUCCUGGCUUGGGCAGAUGCCAUAAUUCUCUCUUUGCACGAGCCAGUGACAGAUGAUCAGCUGUAACUGUUUCAUGCGUCUACUCCCAUCCAUCAGUAAGUUUUCCCUACAAUGAAACAGCUGCCAAAUUACCAUGGAUUAACUUCGCUUGCUCUGGGAUGGAACAGGUAUAUGAAACAGCUACAAAGAUCAGCUUGCAGCUCGGUAAAUGCUCCGCUUCUCUUUUUGAUUGAAAUGCUUGUUUUAUCUGCCCCAACCUAUGCUUGAGCAGCUAUACGUGGUAAAUGUACAAGUAAUUGUGCACUCUCAAAGCGCAGACCCACUCCUCAAAAGCCUGGGAAUUGGGCAAUGUCUGUUUAGCUCUUCAGUGAGAAAGAAUUAAUAUCAUAAGUUUUGUCAUGGGGAAACUGAGGUAUGAAUCUGUAACUUGCCCUGGGAAGCAGAGGGAGCUAGCGGUGGAUUAGGAUUGUGACAUGCAGGUCUGGAAGAUGGCUGGUUUAUGCCUGGUCUAACUCUGAAGACAUGGUGUAACACCCUUGCCUUGACCUUGACUCUUGAAAAACCACCAUCUAUCGAAGCAGUUCACGACAGCAUAUAAGGUGGCUCAGAUCACCGCUGCAGAGCAGAAUUCAGAUCAGCCUUUUUUCUGCAAUGCGCUGUCAUCUUUGUGAAGAACACUGUAAAAAACCUAGAAGACAAAUUGAUGUGCUGAUUGUGGAGAAAUCCCUGGUUUUUUUGGUGGCCUCCUUACUGGGAGUCUGCCCAGUCCCCACUCUGGUUGCAUGCUCUGGUUGCUGGAUCCCCUGGUCACCGAGGUGACUCCAUUGGGAGUGGGAACUUGGUCCUCCUCUUGUUCCAGCUUCCCACCCCAGUACCCGUGAAGUACUGGUCACUUCACCGGGGUUGCUGAUGUUUUUCAAACUAACUGGCCGGCAUCAGCCCUGUUCUGAGAAUACUGGUUUUGGUUGGAGCUUAACAAUGAAGUGAGAAAAGGGGUAAAAGGGGAUCGCUCCCUCUUGAGCAGGGAGACAUUUUUGGGAUGUUGAAACAAGCAAAAGACCUCCAAGAGCUCCAUCAGUCUCUGGAUGAAUGUGAGUAACUCCCCUGUAAUUUAGCCAGUAAUUUAGGAUUAAGUGAACUAGACGCGUAUCCAAAGGGCCAACAAGCCCAUUUUGUUUGGCUCAAGGUGUUUUUCUAAUACUCUUCUAUCUUGUACUCCUUCCCCAUUCCCCGUCUCUCGGAUGAGUACAAGUGAUCUGUUACAACACACCUAGCUAUGAACGCUUGAGAGGAGGGACAGGCCUUUACACUCCUAGUAGAGCUUGGUGAAGUAUGACCUGAAAACCUCCUGGGUGGCUCCAGGUUAUAAGGAGCACCCAGAAAUACUACCAGUGGGCAAAGCACCCCCAGGGUCAGCAGGGUCUGUGUACUCCAGGUAGCACAGAGCCCUAGCAGAGACCAAGGCCUGGGUGGUGGCAGCAAUUACCCCAGGCUCGUGGGUGUGCUCCAGAAAAGGGGUCGGCUGGAUGCGGGCACCCCAGAGGAGACACUCGAAGUGAGGUUUUGGUCGCGCAUAGCGAGGCGGGUGGGUCAGUGUACUUGUUGGCUACAAAUGUCCAACUCGGGAUCCUUAAAAUUCUGGUUUAUUAGGCGGAUUGAAGCACUGUAAUGAAGUUAAAUCAUAAACCUUGGGGCUGGUCCCUACACACACACACACAUGCACACACACAGUAGCAAGCUACAAGAGUCAGGUAUACCUAUCCCACAGGCGCUGGAGUCUGCUGUUGAGGCUUCUUUCAGCAUGGUGUUAUCAUCCAGAAGGGGGUUGCAGGUUGGUCCUUCUGGCUGGACAGGUCGGGUGCUGGUCAAGAUGGAGAUGAAGAGGGCGCCGCUGAGGGUCACUUUUCACUGCUUUUUAUCUGUCCUUGGCAGACUUUGGUGACUCCCCAGUUUUCAGGUUUGCCCAAUCCAGGGGUCAUUGACCCUCGUGGGACUUCCCCCCCCUCGGUGGCUACUGGAUGGCAUCUGUCAGUCCCAGGGGUCGUCAGCAUGUACGUGCAGGUUUGGGAGUCCGUUGAUGAAUUUUGAAUACGGUUCUGGGAGCGGUCGAUCUGGAGAUAUUCAGCCCAAAAGUUGGUCCCCGGCAUUGAUUAACUCAGGCCAGGGCUUCUAGCCCUUGAUCAGUGACAUUUAGAGAUUUCCCGGUUGUUACAUUGUCUUCUAUUGAAUUCUUCCGUUGGUUGAUCUGCAGUUUCCUUAGGUGUUAAUUGCUGCCUGCUACCGUGUUACACAUUCAAUCACUGAUUCACUCGCUCUUUCAGGGGCCCGCCUGAUACAGAGAAGGGCAGUUUGAUUCCUGCCCUUGUUAACAUUGUUACAAUGUAUAACUUACUUAUGAAACUAAACACAUUUAGUUGAAAGUUGAAAGGUGAGGAGUAUAAAAUAUAAGCUACAGAAGUAAUGCCAUGGCACACAAAUAGAUAAAAAUACCAAAAUACAAGGGGAGAUACAAAAUGCACGCAUACAAAUUUCAAAACACAAUUUCUUAUCCUAAAGUGAAAGAAAGAGGAAGGAAGAAAAGGUAGAAGAGGAAAAACAUAUCCAAGGAGGGGAGAGCAACUGCAGGCAAGAGGAAAAGGGGCUUUCUGCUACAUACUAGUACCUCCUGCUGGCUUGCCACACUGAUCGCAAAAGGAAAGCCCCAACUGGGCUUUCCAAAAACCAAGCCUAAAGUCUGUUUGAACCAGCAAAACAUCUUGAGGGGGAAACAUUAUAAAAGAAUCAAGUUCUGUUGAAGGGGUCGGCAGUGUUUUUGGCUGGAUUGCCAAAAACAUCCCAGCCCUGACCCACGCCUCGAUUUGGUAUGCUAGGGCGGACCGUGGGGGAGCUGUGAGGGGCCCAAUCCUCAUUGCUGGUGGUGGUGCACAUGCCUGCAGGUGGACUGUGGGGGUGGGGAGGUCUGGGGCACCGCAACCCUGGCCCUUUUUCCACCGUCUACCUGGAGGUGCGCGUCCAGCCGCCGCCAAACCUGGCCAAGGGCUCCAGAGCCUGGUGCAGCUGUUUGGAGCCUCCCGGGCUCUGGGCAGCUGCUGCCCAUGUGGGCUGCUUGUAGCAUCCCAGCCCCCUGCUACCAGCAGCCCAGGCUCCAUGGCCAGCAACAGCUGCCCAGAGUCGGGGCCAUGCUGUGGCACGUGUGCUGGGAGUUGCCAACCCCUGUUCCAUUGUGUACCAUCACUGACUUUAAUGAAGUUAUUCCAAAUACAAUUUUCUUCUGUGGUUUCAUUACAGCAAAUCAGGGAACUACCGGUCAGCAGCGAGGGGAUGAAACCCAGUUGGGUUUUAACCAGCAGAGGUCAGUAUAUAAAUGAUUAAACGUGGCAGACAAGGAUACCGGGGACCUGACAGCCAAUUACACAAGAGUCAAACAAAAGCAAAGUCCAACAGGUGCCCAGCGGGUCUGUAAAAUAUCAGCUGAGGAAAUUGCUGUAGGCUCAAACGCUGCUGAAAAAUGCACUGGAAAGUCCUGCGUGUCUUUUCUUUUCGAAGGGAACACACUCGUUUUUGCAUCGGCACUGAAACACUGCACAAAGGACAAAGAGGCUUUGUAAAACCAACAUUUGUUCUCAACGUUUCUUAAACGUCAGUGGAAACGCGUGCUUGGAGAAGUGCAGUACCAUGCUCUGGAACGGCACUGGGCUCAUGCGGCGCACCGCCAAGUGAAGCACUCUUCUCUUACAGAGCCACUGGGGAGGAGGGAGUGAACGCUCCAGUACAGCUUCAGGGGACGGGUUACAAAAUUCAGCAUGUACAUCUGUGGGUAGACUGCAGGGGUCUGAUUUAGCAAUUAACCCUGGAACAACACCUGUCGGGUUACUGACUGCUUGGGCAAAAUCUGUGUGUGCAAAUAGUAGAGCGAUUCUCAGCCACCUUAGGCUCAAGGCACCCAUCGCCGGACUCAAGGCACCCAUCCAUAAGUUGGGAAGUGAGCGGCACCCCACUUCAUAAACUAUUUAUUACAGUUCUCACUUGCUUGCAGAGGAGCAAGGCAGCAGCCAGCUAGGGCUGAGUCUGCACCGAGCCUGCCCCAGCACCCCGGUUGAGAAUCGCUGCCAUAGAGGCAUACCAUUGUUCACAUACCUCUCAGGUCGGUGGGUGUGAAUAUAUAUGCAUGUUUUCUGCACGUAAGUUAUAUUGAAUAUCAGGUCCUGUAUGUCUAACAAUGAAUGGCGAAAGCGGUGGGUGCAGUUCCACUGUUUCUUUGGGUAACACAAUUGAGAGACUUUUUAUAAUGCAUGCACCAUCUUGUCUUUAUGUCUGAUGGUUAGGCCGUGUGGUGUCUUUCAUGCAUCACUGCAGGUUCGGACAAUAUUCAUUUAAGAAAAACUGUCUAACUGUCUAUGUGGAAUACGCAAGUCCCACACUUUAUACGGCUGUAAAUCAGAAGUAACUCCAUGGAAGGUCACCCCAUACUUUUUACAGAUUCACUUCAUCCUAAUAAGUCACCCCAUACUUUAUAUGGCUGUAAAUCAGAAGUAACUCCAUAGAAGGAAGCGGGUUAGACUGGCGCACGGAAGUGGAGAAUUGGGUCCUAUGUUUCUUGUUAUCGAAGCAUGUGGCUUGAUGCCAGGAGUGAUCUGCCUUUUCUUGGCAUGUGUUGCUCCAAGUGACUCCUCUUCUUCAAAUGCUUCACUUUGGUGAUGGAAAAAGAGCCAAAGAAAAUUCUCCUGAAAAUCUCCUCCUGCCCUACUGACAGUAUGUAGAGCCUCUUGACAUGUUAAGCAGUACGUUACAUCUUUACUAGCUGCAUGCAGCUGACAAUUCAUCUCAAGAAGUCAGGGAUCAUGUACCAAGGGAGGGAAGAACCCGCACCUGCCAUCACUCUGGAGGGUAAAUCUCUUGGUGUCAUCAAGAGCUUUUGCUGCUUGGCUUCUGUGAUUAGCGGGAAUCUCGACCUUCAGGCUGAACUGACCGAAUCGGAAAAGCAGGCAAGAAUUUGGGGCUCUUACGGAAACGUGUGUGGAAUAACAACAAACUAUCAACUAAGGUGCAGAUGCACCUCUACGAGCCUUGCCCUCAUCCCUGCUUUAUGGUUUAGAAACAUGAACUACAUAUUGCAGGUGCAUCAGGAGACUGCACAGUUUCUAUGAAAGAUGCCUGAGCAAGAUCCUGAAAAUAAAGUGGGAAGAUAAAAUGCUAAACAGAGGUGGAGAGGUGCACUCAGGACUGACACGCUUGGAAACCACCAUCAAGAAGAAGAGGUUGCAACGGCUCGGCCAUGUCAGGAGAAUGGAAGGAGCCCGUAUCCCUAAGAAUAUUUGGUACGGCGAGAUUUGAGACGGCUGUAGAAAGUAGGGUCGCCCUCUAGGGUGGUACCAUGAUGUGCAAAGACCUUCAUCAUCUUGGAUCCUACACCAGCUAUUACCACUGAGAUGAAAGACCAUCAUCAUCUUGGAUGACAGGUGGUAAUAAGGGGCUGACUCCUAAAAUUUUCACUAGCCAAUGCCAGUCCUUCCUCCAGCAACACUGCUUCAUGGGGACAAUUUGUGUGUAACCUAAGUAUGAAUUCUGGGAUUUGGCCUGCUACCAAAAGACAGCACAAGGUAGAAAAAAUUGGUUUGUUUUCUGGCUGGAAAGUUUAUAGUCAGACAGAGGAGUGUUUCAGUGAAUAAAAGGAGGCUUCCUGUACAGGCCUGAGAAAAAAACCCAAUAGUAUUGGAAAAACAGAGAGAACAGAAGCACUUAGGCUUUGCUUUUGGCAGCAUUGGCAAUGGUUAUGGUGCUGCCGUGGCUGACCCAAAGCAGGUAUUGCCCAGUAGGAGACACACAGACUGCAUGGAUCCGUCCUCUGGGAUCUCCCUUUUCAAACAGGAGCUUGCUAAAUGGCAUCUUGGAACCCCACCCCAUUGGGCCUGGCUUGUCUUCAAUCUCUUUGACAGAAGCUGAAAAAACCCUAUUUUUAACAGCAAGUGGGCAUUACUAGGAUUGCUGCACAGCACAGAUCCAAAGCAAACAGAAGCUGAACAGGCACAUGAUGGGAAAUGACUUGGGAUGGAAACUAUGUGAAACCAGUGUGUGUUUCAAACUAUAUAGGACGUGAUUGCUUUGUAGGAGGUCUGCCUUGCGUUGAGGUUUGUACAACUCCAGGACUCCAGGUAAGUCGUGUGAGGAUGGAAAGAGGCAUUCUUCAUUGCUCUUGCACGAGGCUCUUGCAGGCUAGGAGGCAGGUGAUUCCUGAAUGAGGUAUCUUUCAGAUGUGCAAAAAUGUCUCAAUGGAUUGGUAACCUGGUACAUGUUUAAGGGGUUGACAGAAAGGACAUUGCACUGACCUGCGCUGGAAGUCGCUUGAUUCUGCAACCAGUAAGAUGUUAUUUGGAUGCCAAUCUCGACAAAGUAUAAUGGAUUUGACUGACUUCUUGACAUGCUUGCUUGGCCAUUUAUGGUUAGAGUCAAGCACAGAGGUAGAAGGACUCUGUGCAAUGCUGUGUUUGUGCAUGCUGCUUUGCAAUGAAGCUGUUUUAUGGCUAUUGCCAUAGGGAGCUCUUCCCAGACUGCUUGCAUUCCAGCUGCUAGGGAAGUCAGGACCUUUCCACAAAAGUAUUUACCAUCCACUGGAAAACAAACCCUGAUGCUGUAUUUUAUUUAUUCCAGGAAAAAAUAUGUGACUAGUGGCUGCAUGCUAUCUGGUGUCCUAUUAAAACUGGCUUGCGUCAAUGUGAUCUUGUAAGACCAGAGAAUCACAUUUCCAGAUGUUCAAGCAGCAUAGGCGCUGUUGGGGCAGCUCAGGGGUUGAAACAGAUUCGUGCAUUUUAGGUCAACAUGUUCUUAUAACAAAAACGAUAACGCCACAUGCAUGGAUCAUGGAGGGCAAAGUCCCGUUCAUUUGGUCCAUCUUCCUGCCUUUGUUCCCUGCAAUGUCUUUUCUUUUCCGGCGCCUUUCUAGUCUGUCCUGUCUACCUGCCAUCUUACGGCACUGUGUUAACCAGGGCUCGAACCUGCAGGUGGUUAUACUGCAUGUAUACUUAUUCUCACCCAGAAACAAUGAGAGGCAUUGCAGUCCUGCACAACCCUGCUCUGUAGGUCAGGAAAAUAUCAUCGGGAUUGUGCCUCUUACUAGCUGAUAUGCGAGCUAUCUUUUGGGAUCGCUCAACUUAAUGAGUGCAGCCAUAUCAGGGGCCUAGAAACAAUACUCAUCAUCUUAGGGCAGAGGGAGGGAAGAAGAUUGCAGGAAAAACACUAGGCAGGCUGCAUGUGAUUACUCCAGUUGGAGUUCAGCUAGUUUUGCAGUGACUUUUUCAUAGUGUCACUGCCCUUUUAGCUGCAUGAACAUUCGAGAGUUUGGUUAUGCAUCUCAUAGAGAACAUGGUGCCAAAGCCAGCACUGCGCUCCCUAGGGUUAUGUUGAAUUAAUAGCUUUGUAUUUGCUCAGAGCGGAAAAACAGCUAACGUUACUUCUCGCUGUAUGCCUUUGUCUGAAAUCUCCCAUCGCAGAAUGGUGCUGUCCCACUGCAGAUACACAGCAGGGCCUGGAGAGCUAUACGUGACUCCCUUGAUUGGGCUCCUAACCUAACGGGCUAAUAUUGACUGGGCCUUGCUUGUGGUUGCUCUGGCUUGGGCCAGUCAUUUUCUCUCCCAAAGAAGCAUACGGAAAUGAUUUUAGAUCUGUUACCCAAAGCAAGCUUGUUCUCCUGUGGGCACCAUUGCAUAUAACUGGCAACACGGUUGAUGCCAAGUAGGACCAAAGUUGGCUUUUAGCCCCGCUCUCUCAGAGACCCAACAGAAGCAUUUUGGUCCAUAGUGGAGGUCAAGACGUUGCUCGAGUUGGGAGCCCAGUUUAUGCCUGCAACAUCACAUGCCUGUUUAUAAUGUUGAUUCUUCACAUUGUAAUUUGAUUACUCAAAGAGUACCUCCUUUCCAUGACACGUCAAUGGACCAACCUAUGGAAAUGGAUGUGCAAAGGGUUGUCGUAAUACUUUGCCUUCCAUCAAAAGUCUUUGAGUGUUUUGUGACCGUUAAUUAAAGAAUCAUUCUGCAUCUCUCUUGAAGAUGAGUAAACUGAGGCAUGAGCCAAAUCGAUGCCAAUUCCUGUAAAUUAGGUCUUGUAACACAGUAUGCAAGAGACAUGGUUAUUUUCUGUUUUAAGAUGGGUGAAUUUGGCUUUUUCAAUACUUUUAAAUCAAUGGAAUUAAAUGAAAAAGUAUUGAAAGAUAAAACCAGAAAUCUACUUGUGACCCUGCCGCUGCGUAUUGUGAGCUCACGGCUUUUCUCGGUUAUCUGGUAGAUGUGGACUGGGUGGGUGUUAGACCUGAUAACAGUUUCUGCUAGGAAAAGAAACAGUUGUGUUAUUGGGGCCAUGUAUUGCUUGCACUGUCCACACACAUCUUCAUCCAGACAAAAUGAGGAGUGUUGCAUGCUGGGGCACGUUGGAUCCAUUGGCCAUGUUUCUUCCUUGAAGCUGAAGGUGGUUAAGGACCAGCAUGUAGAAAACUCUGUCAUCUUGGUCACCGCUGGUCAUGUAUUAGGGUCACUCCACUUCAUGGGCUCUUAUAACAAACACUCCUGCUGCUUGUAAGUACAAUCUUUAUUUCAUGCACUGUCGAACUAUAUCCAAUCCUACCUCCUCUUCAAAAUAUCUCUGAGGUCUGCCCUUUUCUCUUUCUUGAGCAUCCAGAGCAUGGAAAACCUCCUUUUCCAUGUCCUUAUCCCCUGGUCUUCCCGAACCCACAUCACUGUUCCACCUCCAUUCCUUGCAAAAUCCUGCAGCUUGAAGAAAUAAUGUUCCUGGCCUGCUGAUCUGGUGAUAUCUAGGCAGCGGACAUCUCUCUCGGCUUUAUAGAGAAGCACCUUAGUAAGUAAAGCAGCAAAAGCUGGAACUUAAGCAUUGUGGAAAUCUGGCUGCAUUCCUAGUAGUAGCUGUUUCCUGCCAUAAACACCUCCUGUUAAAGCCUGGCUGCCAUUCCACAUACACCAAGGAAAAGACCAGCUGCUACCAUCCUGCUUCCUAACCGUCUCAUAUGCCUUCAUGGAGUGACUCCUGUCCUUUCCUCACCAUCCUGACCCCGUUGGUUUUGUCCCCUUCGUUUUUAGUAAGUCAUAUCCAUAUUGAAAUGUCUGUUUUGGGGGGGCCAGAAAAAUACUCUUAGCUGUACCAAGAGAUCCCCCAGCUGCUGAGUUCUGUAAAAUAAUACUGGCUUUGGGAAGCAUUGAGUGUCCUGACUGCACGCAGCAUCUUAUAAGGCUCUCCUGAAAGGAUUAUGUUAACUAAUGAUAUUAUCAUCAUUUUUAUGCCACUGUACGUGUGCCAGCACUGGACAGUAACGGAGGGUGUGGAGAGAUCACUGGGAGGAAAGUGAAGCAGGAAGGGGGGUGAGGAAGCAGAGAGGAGAGGAGAAGUGCCAGGCCCUGGGGGAGUCUUGGGUGAACCAGGCACAGGUCACAGCAGAAAGGACAAAGCCAGCAGUAGGAAAUGGAGAUCAAAGGGUCAGGGAGAGGAGAGACCUGGUGGCACUGGGGUGCGGGAGGGACGAAGAGGCAGAAAAGGACACGAGCCGAGGUGAAAACAAAGGAGUUUGAUUUGACUGUGUUUAAAAACCCAACAAGAUGUUAAGGGAUUCAGAUGGGGAAUGGGUAGAGGAUUCCCAGCAGUGUAAGAAAAGGAUGUAUCCAGUACAUGUGAUGGAGCCAAGCACAAAACCCUUGGGCAUGAAGACUUCGAAGUCCAGACCCCAGAUUUUGGUAUCUUGGUGCUCAGUCUGCCCUCAUUACUAGGGGUGUUUGCCAGUGCUUUCCUCUGUGAGCUGGCCCUUUCCAAACGGAGGAGACAAGCAGCCCCAUUGCGAGGCGUGUCCCCUGCCCUGCCCAUUGCAGGAUGCGCUCUUUUCCUAGGCGCUACCUGUGUCUGCCUCGUGAGGAUCUGGCCCAUCUUCCCAGUCCCUUCCACUAAGCAGCAGGCGGGUGUUUGAGAGCCGUUUCAUAGGGCAGAGGGGAGGCGAGGGGAAGAUGAGAGCAUCAAAGGGGAAGUGUUAGCUAUGUUGAUGUGCAAUUAGAUCUGUGGCUGUUGGUCUUUCCUUCAUUUCAGUGUUGUGAGAGCAUGAGACAAACCCAGCUCCAGUACAGAACUAACUCCAGCCUCGGGGUAACCCGGCUGACGUCGGUGGAGUUGCCUGAGGGUUGAAUUUGGCUGCCCCUCCUGCCUGGCGGUGUCUGUUCAGCCGCAAAAGGCCAUUAGACUGCUAGGAAAUUCCAUCCCCGGAGCAAUAUCCCUCGGAAAAAAGACUAGAAUAAUUAGUGCUUGGAAAUCCACAGGUCUUUACUAGCAGCAUGUGCAGCACACGAUGAUUCAUGGCCCCUGGGAAUUGAUGUGCUGUCCUCCAGGCUGAGAUUCUGUCCUGGUAUUUCCCAAUGUGGGGAAAGCAGGAUCUGCAGCCCAGCUGAUACUCGAACUGAGGCCACGGUUGAGACAUCUGCACUAAUGCAGCGUGGGUCCUGUAAGGCUGCCCCGUGUCUCUGUCCAAAAGCCACGUCGUACAGCUGUGCUGUGGAUGCCCUGCCAGGAGGUGAAAUGGAGCUAGCUAAGCUAUUUGCCAGGGUCCGUGUUCAAUGUAAGCACGCUGCUCUGGCAAAGCUGCAGCAAAGAUGGUCCGGCAACACCUUCACAACACUAUUACCUCCCCGCAACUACGUGGCACUCGGUUGGUGUCUGCAGAGCUAUUGGGCUUGCGUCGGCAGGAAAUCUGGGCUGCUCUCCCAUCCUGCCCAGCUGCAGAAGCCCCAGGCAAAGGAUGGGUUAGGAAGCAGAUAGGAUAACAUCAUUUGAACCCCAAGCUAUAGGCUCAGGGCUAUAACCACCCAUGUAUCCAGGUGGUUCAUUAAUAAUGUUUAGUAUUUAGCAAUAAAGCUGAGGCACCGUGGGUUUGGGUUGUAGUGUGGGCUGGCCCUACGGGAGUAGGGACUGAAGAGAGGCUUACUGGGCCCCAACACAGCCACAUGUAUGAGUGUGCAUUUAGGAGUGCGGAAGAGAAGUGGUCACAGAAAAGCCUCUACUGACUUGUCAUUAAGAUGCAGCUGCACCAAGAACAUGCAACCAGGAGGAGCUCAGUUUCACUUUGGGAGGGCUCUGUUAAAAACCACACAGCUUCCCGUGCCUAGUACUGCACGUAGUGACAUAGCAUCUUCUACCGUCUACGUCCGCAGUGACGCGGAGCCGUUAGCACCAUUUCUGUAGAAUAAAGCCACUGUUUCCCUGAUCAGAGAAUGCGGCAGGACAAGUUUUACUUACAGGCUUGAUCUUUGUUCCAGGCAUAGCAGGAUAUGGGAUCUGUCCCAAAGCUAUGCAAGGAUGUGUCCUAACGCGCAGGGCUGGAAGGUGACAAAAGCCGGUGAAAUAGCACCAACAUGCCAUUUUAGAAACAACCAUUUGCAGCGCAGGGAAACUUGCAGGAGUUUUCAGUUAAAUGAGAAAACAAAAUGACCUGUGAGAGUCCACGGUGUGUGCAUAGUUGAUCCACCACUUGUAAUCUACUCCACGGUGUGUGCAUAGUUGAUCCACCGCUUGUAAUCUACUCCAUGGUGUUUGCAUAUUUGAUCCACUGCUUGUAACCUAUUUCAUGGUGUGUGCAUAGUUGAUCCACCACUUGUAAUCUACUCUGCGGUGUGCACAUAUUUGAUCCACUGCUUGUAACCUAUUUCAUGGUGUGUGCAUAGUUGAUCCACCACUUGUAAUCUACUCCAUGGUGUACACAUAUUUGAUCCACUGCUUGUAAUUUACUCCACGGUGUGUGCAUAUUUGAUCCACUGCUUGUAAUCUACUCCACGGUGUGUGCAUAGUUGAUCCACUGCUUGUAAUCUACUCCACGGUGUGUGCAUAUUUUAUCCACCGCUUGUAAUCUACUCCACGGUGUGUGCAUAUUUGAUCCACCGCUUGUAAUCUACUCCACGGUGUGCACAUAUUUGAUCCACUGCUUGUAAUCUACUCCACGAUGUGUGCAUAGUUGAUCCACCGCUUGUAAUCUACUCCACGGUGUGCAUAUCUGAUCCACCGCUUGUAAUCUACUCCACGGUGUGCAUAUCUGAUCCACCGCUUGUAACCUAUUUUAUGGUGUGUGCAUAUUUGAUCCACUGCUUGUAAUCUACUCCAUGGUGUGUGCAUAUUUGAUCCACCACUUGUAAUCUACUCCACAGUGUGUGCAUAUUUGAUCCACCGCUUGUAAUCUACUCCACAGUGUGUGCAUAUUUGAUCCACCACUUGUAAUCUACUCCACAGUGUGUGCAUAUUUGAUCCACCGCUUGUAAUCUACUCCACGGUGUGUGCAUAGUUGAUCCACUGCUUGUAAUCUACUCCAUGGUGUGUGCAUAAUUGAUCCACUGCUUGUAAUCUAUUCUAAUGGCACCAACCUUAAUGACACCUCUGAACUAAUGAACUUGAACUCUGAAGAUCAAACUUGA